UACGUAGGUGGCAAGCGUUAUCCGGAAUUAUUGGGCGUAAAGCGCGCGCAGGCGGUCUUUUAAGUCUGAUGUGAAAGCCCACGGCUCAACCGUGGAGGGUCAUUGGAAACUGGGAGACUUGAGUGCAGAAGAGAAGAGUGGAAUUCCAUGUGUAGCGGUGAAAUGCGUAGAUACUGGUAGGAACACCCAUUGCGAAGGCAGCUCGCUGGACAACACGUGACGCUGAGGCGCGAAAGUGUGGGGAGCAAACCGGAUUAGA
rnacentral:rRNA from 1 species